rnacentral:lncRNA from 1 species
AGGGGGGUCCACAUACUCUAUUGCAACCACUCUUUCCUACCAGUCCUUCUUUUCAAGAUAGCAUAUUAGUUCAAGCCUCUCAUAACCUUCCUGUACCAAGCUGGGCUCACAAGCAUGGCAAGGUACCCUUAAGUAUUCCAUAUCAAUGACAGAAUCACUGGCUGCCCGGAGCAGAGAGGGCCACCGUGGAGCUGUCACUUCUUCAAUCAGUUGUGUUUCAACUUUGAUUCAUGCACAAAUUAAAAUGGAUCCUGCAGCAUGGAAAGGAGAAGGAAGAAAUGUUAGAAGAGAAAAGGGAACUCGCCCAGCAUGGAUUCAAAGGCAGUGGCAGAAGGUUAAUAUAGUGGCUUAUAGAACUUUGCUUCUAUAGAUAAAUACUUGAACAUGGAAGGUGUUAUUCAGUUAGCCUUUCUGGUUAUUUUAGAAUUUAUCACUUAGUACAA